AGAGUUUGAUCCUGGCUCAGGAUGAACGCUGGCUACAGGCUUAACACAUGCAAGUCGAGGGGCAGCAUGCCGGUUGCUUGCAACCGGUGAUGGCGACCGGCGCACGGGUGAGUAACGCGUAUCCAACCUUCCCGCGACCAAGGGAUAACCUGCCGAAAGGCAGACUAAUACCUUAUGUCCUCCUUUGAAGGCAUCUGACGAGGAGCAAAGAUCCGUCGGUCACGGAUGGGGAUGCGUCCGAUUAGCUUGUUGGCGGGGCAACGGCCCACCAAGGCUUCGAUCGGUAGGGGUUCUGAGAGGAAGGCCCCCCACACUGGAACUGAGACACGGUCCAGACUCCUACGGGAGGCAGCAGUGAGGAAUAUUGGUCAAUGGGCGGAAGCCUGAACCAGCCAAGUAGCGUGCAGGACGACGGCCCUACGGGUUGUAAACUGCUUUUAUGCGGGGAUAAAGUUGCCCACGCGUGGGUUUUUGCAGGUACCGCAUGAAUAAGGACCGGCUAAUUCCGUGCCAGCAGCCGCGGUAAUACGGAAGGUCCGGGCGUUAUCCGGAUUUAUUGGGUUUAAAGGGAGCGCAGGCCGCCGUGCAAGCGUGCCGUGAAAAGCAGCGGCCCAACCGCUGCCCUGCGGCGCGAACUGCCUGGCUUGAGUGCGCCGGAAGCGGGCGGAAUUCGUGGUGUAGCGGUGAAAUGCUUAGAUAUCACGAAGAACCCCGAUUGCGAAGGCAGCCCGCUGUGGCGCCACUGACGCUGAGGCUCGAAGGUGCGGGUAUCGAACAGGAUUAGAUACCCUGGUAGUCCGCACGGUAAACGAUGGAUACCCGCUGUCCGGCCCGUACGGUCUGGGCGGCCAAGCGAAAGCGUUAAGUAUCCCACCUGGGGAGUACGCCGGCAACGGUGAAACUCAAAGGAAUUGACGGGGGCCCGCACAAGCGGAGGAACAUGUGGUUUAAUUCGAUGAUACGCGAGGAACCUUACCCGGGCUUAAAUUGCAGAUGAAUUACGGUGAAAGCCGUAAGCCGCAAGGCAUCUGUGAAGGUGCUGCAUGGUUGUCGUCAGCUCGUGCCGUGAGGUGUCGGCUUAAGUGCCAUAACGAGCGCAACCCCUCUCCGCAGUUGCCAUCGGGUGAUGCCGGGCACUCUGCGGACACUGCCGCCGCAACAAUCAGAAUGAUAAUCAUCGGGUCGGCAAGCUGUUUGAGAAACCUGACAAACAAAGAAACUUUUUUAGGCU
rnacentral:rRNA from 1 species